GGGAUAACAGUCAGAAAUGACUGCUAAUACCGCAUAAGACCACAGCACCGCAUGGUGCAGGGGUAAAAACUCCGGUGGUACAGGAUGGACCCGCGUCUGAUUAGCUGGUUGGUGAGGUAACGGCUCACCAAGGCGACGAUCAGUAGCCGGCUUGAGAGAGUGAACGGCCACAUUGGGACUGAGACACGGCCCAAACUCCUACGGGAGGCAGCAGUGGGGAAUAUUGCACAAUGGGGGAAACCCUGAUGCAGCGACGCCGCGUGAGUGGAGAAGUAUCUCGGUAUGUAAAGCUCUAUCAGCAGGGAAGAAAAUGACGGUACCUGACUAAGAAGCCCCGGCUAACUACGUGCCAGCAGCCGCGGUAAUACGUAGGGGGCAAGCGUUAUCCGGAAUUACUGGGUGUAAAGGGUGCGUAGGUGGUAUGGCAAGUCAGAAGUGAAAACCCAGGGCUUAACUCUGGGACUGCUUUUGAAACUGUCAGACUGGAGUGCAGGAGAGGUAAGCGGAAUUCCUAGUGUAGCGGUGAAAUGCGUAGAUAUUAGGAGGAACAUCAGUGGCGAAGGCGGCUUACUGGACUGAAACUGACACUGAGGCACGAAAGCGUGGGGAGCAAACAGGAUUAGAUACCCUGGUAGUCCACGCCGUAA
rnacentral:rRNA from 1 species